rnacentral:misc_RNA from 1 species
GAUGAAGAACGCAGCGAAAUGCGAUACGUAGUGUGAAUUGCAGAAUUCAGUGAAUCAUCGAAUCUUUGAACGCACAUUGCGCCCUUUGGUAUUCCAAAGGGCAUGCCUGUUCGAGCGUCAUUUGUACCUUCAAGCUUUGCUUGGUGUUGGGCGUUUUUGUCUCCCUCUUUCUGGGAGACUCGCCUUAAAACGAUUGGCAGCCGGCCUACUGGUUUCGGAGCGCAGCACAUAAUUUGCGCUUUGUAUCAGGAGAAAAGGACGGUAAUCCAUCAAGACUCUACAUUUUUAACUUUUGACCUCGGAUCAGGUAGGGAUACCCGCUGAACUUAAGCAUAUCAAUAAGCGGAGGA